CUUAAUAUCCUUAAGAGACAAUUUAUAAAUGUAUGAAGGUUUUUAACAACUCGUUAAGUUAUUAAAAUAUUUAAUUGUUUUUAGCACAACACACACUUUCUACACUAUAAGAUCAUCAACUCAUAUUCUAUUUGUAACAUGUAAAGAUAUAAAAAUAUGUCUAAUACUCUCAUGUUUGUUAUUACUUUUAUUGUAUUGGUUACCCUAUUUCUUGGUCCAAAGAAUGUUUAUGCAUUUCAACCAUGUGUCACUACUGCUGAUUGUAUGAAGACAUUGAAGACUGAUGAGAAUAUCUGGUAUGAAUGCAUUAAUGAUUUUUGUAUACCAUUUCCAAUUCCGAAAGGAAGAAAGUAGAUUUACUCCGUAAAUGGAAGAACAAGCAAUUAUGCUAGCAAUAAAUAUAUGAAAUAUAUACCAUAUACAAAAAUAUUUCAUGGUUUCCAUCUAGUUAAUCUUCACGCACACAAUAAUUGUAUUUUUAUAUUUAUCUUAUAAUUUAUAAUUUUACAAUCCUUGCAAUUAUUGCUUUCUACUCGAAGAUGUUGGUAAUGAAAUGAAACAAAGCACUAAAUAAUAUAAUAAUAAGAUUAUUUUUUCUUUCCAAUAUAAUUCCACCAAGAAAAAUGAUACACUUUUAAUUUUCGAAACAGUUCAAGUCAUAUUUCAUGAUGAAAGAGUCCAUUAGUUAAAUUAUUUCUUCUAAGAAGGAACUGUAUUGAUUAUAAUUAUUAAAAAAUAUUCGUUUAGAAGUUAUGCAAGAUGAAACUAUACUCAUACAACUUAUGAAGCCUUUUAGAGAAUGGAUUUUGACUUCGAUUGUGGUACUCGAUGGGAACUCAGGAUAAUGGACGCGCGUAGGGGCCCAUGGUGUUGGUUCCCACCGCGGGGCUACGGUAAAACUUUUCAAUGACCUAGCUUCACUAACAAACCUUCGUCCAUUUUAGGACGAAGAUCAAACCGAACAUCAUCUGGAUCCGAGCUGGAAGACGAUGUCAACUCCCAACUUGCUCAACUGAUCGAGGCAGUGCGUGAGCUUCAAGCACAAAAUGUCGAAACAACAAAAACAAAAUGAGGAACAUCAACGUCAACAAGCUGAAGCCCAAGCUCGGGAGGCAGAGCUGAGACAACAUUUGGAGGAUCGAGAAUGGGAACAGAUGCCAACUACAGGAAGCCUCGGAUUUUACUUGCUACUCGUGGAAGUGUUGCAGCUGUUAAAUUUGCAAAUCUUUGUCGCAAAUUCAUCUUUGCAUUUUGUUGACAGAAUAGUGUUUCCCAAGUAUUCAUCGUCGUCCAACCAUUUAAUUCGUGCUGAUUUUGGCAAUGGUGGAAUGGCUGAACCUUCUAUAAUGCAUCUACUUUUUUUUUAAUGGCAAAAUAUAUAUAAUUAUAUAAAAAUAAAGAAAAACCAGAUACAAAGAGGGGCAACCAAUGUAAGACUCAACACCAAUGUACCACCAAUUAAUGUAUUACUUUUAUAAUGCAACUA